UACGGAGGGAGCUAGCGUUAUUCGGAAUUACUGGGCGUAAAGCGCACGUAGGCGGCUUUGUAAGUUAGAGGUGAAAGCCUGGAGCUCAACUCCAGAAUUGCCUUUAAGACUGCAUCGCUUGAAUCCAGGAGAGGUGAGUGGAAUUCCGGAGUGUAGAGGUGAAAUUCGUAGAUAUUCGGAGGAACACCAGUGGCGAAGGCGGCUCACUGGCUCGGUACUGACGCUGAGGUGCGAAAGCGUGGGGAGCAAACAGG
rnacentral:rRNA from 1 species